GCACGAAUGCCUCAGCUCUUGCUGUGCACUGCCUGACACGCGUUGAUGCUAUGCUUUGUGGAGCCUGUUUACGUUUGGUAGAAAUGGCACCAUCUAGUCCUUAAAAAGGAUCAUCACCACAAUAACUGUUUGGGCUGGUGGAGAGAGUGUUUUCUUCACUCAUGGUGAAGAAUGGGGGAGAUAGAAGGAACAUACAGAGUCCUGCAGACUGCAGGGACGCGCUUGGGUGCCCAGACCCCUGUGGGAGUUAGCACCCUUGAGCCUGGGCAGGCUCUCUUGCCCAGAAUGCAAGAGAAGCACCUGCACCUCAGAGUAAAGCUGCUGGACCACACCUUGGAAAUAUUUGACAUUGAGGUUUGAAAAAUAACAGGUCAACCUCUUCCCAGAUUUCUUGACAUCCUUGGAAACCAUGCAUUUACGCCAUUGCAGAGCAGCUCAAGAAUGGCCCAGAACCCUAUGGUCACCUGGCUGGUUUGCAGAGCCUUUCUUUGUGGCCUGCAUUGCACCUCACACACUGCCUGCUACUUCUGGUCAUGUUGAAUUGCCCACCUUUUAA
rnacentral:sRNA from 1 species